UUUAAAGAGAGUUUGAUCCUGGCUCAGGACGAACGCUGGCGGCGUGCCUAAUACAUGCAAGUCGAACGAACGGAGGAAGAGCUUGCUCUUCCAAUGUUAGUGGCGGACGGGUGAGUAACACGUGGGCAACCUGCCUGUAAGUUGGGGAUAACUCCGGGAAACCGGGGCUAAUACCGAAUGAUAAGAUGUGGCGCAUGCCACGCCUUUGAAAGAUGGUUUCGGCUAUCGCUUACAGAUGGGCCCGCGGUGCAUUAGCUAGUUGGUAGGGUAAUGG
rnacentral:rRNA from 1 species